UACAGAGGGGGCAAGCGUUAUUCGGAAUUAUUGGGCGUAAAGGGCGCGUAGGCGGCUUGGCAAGUGGAUGGUGAAAUCCCUCGGCUUAACCGAGGAACUGCCGUCCAAACUGCUUCGCUUGAGACCGGGAGAGGUGAGUGGAAUUCCCAGUGUAGCGGUGAAAUGCGUAGAUAGUUGGGAGGAACACCAGUGGCGAAGGCGGCUCACUGGACCGGUACUGACGCUGAGGCACGAAAGCCAGGGGAGCAAACGGG
rnacentral:rRNA from 1 species